AUUUAUAUAGUUUAAAAAAAACAAUACAUUUUCAUUGUAAAAAUAAUAUAUCCCCAUAUUUAUAAAUU
rnacentral:tRNA from 1 species